UACGGGGGGAGCAAGCGUUGUUCGGAUUUACUGGGCGUAAAGGGCGCGUAGGCGGCCACCGCAAGUCGACUGUGAAAUCUCCGGGCUUAACUCGGAAAGGUCAGCCAAUACUGCGGGGCUAGAGUGCAGAAGGGGCAACUGGAAUUCUCGGUGUAGCGGUGAAAUGCGUAGAUAUCGAGAGGAACACCUGCGGCGAAGGCGGGUUGCUGGGCUGACACUGACGCUGAUUGUGCGAAAGCUAGGGGAGCGAACGGG
rnacentral:rRNA from 1 species